rnacentral:misc_RNA from 1 species
GUUUUUUACCUUGUUUCUGUGGAUUCCGGCUAUGCCUUUUCUGUCAUAAGAGGAUUCUUGAAGAGGAUGGGCGCUGUCCUGGCUGCAGGAAGCCAUAUGAUCGUGAUCCUGCCGACAAUGAGACAAACGUACAUGGCGGCAGCCCAACAUUCCCAUUGGCUCGUUCUUGUAGCAUGAUUUCAAGGUCUUAGGUAGUGUUCAGUUUCUGUGAGUUAAUGU